UGUGUAGUGACAAGACAUGCCGAGGCACGGGUAUGUGUUUCUGUUUUUUUUUUCGUUCGUAGUAUCACCCAUCGGUCCUUUUUUGUCGAUCCUGGUUGACUUAUACAAGAGAUAACGGUCUGAAUGAAACAUGUUGAAAUUGUUCAAAGUCACGUGUACCUUGCAUCUAAAAGUACGCAGGUCUUAAGACAUGCGAUGCUUUUUGGAAGGAGAAAACAAAUGUGAAAGUAAACUCACAGCAAAACUAGGUAAUGUGCACACGCACAGGUACACAAACAUACAUACAUACAUGCAUACAUACAUGAUGGCCGUCCACUUGUGACCCAGGAAGACCAUUGCUGACCUUUAGAAACAUUAUGCGAUCUAGUACUAACUUAUAUUUAAGGACUCGGAAGAGAAUCUUUGAUUUUUGAAGAAUGCUCCAUUUUUAGCGUCAGGGUGUGUGAUGUUCUUAUUUUGUUAAAGCAAAUCAUAUUUUGGUGUUUAAAAUGAAAUGUCCUUUUAUUGUCAGCAAGUCCCUGUUUAAAGGUUAUCGGCAGAGUAAAACCAACCUUGUUUUUAAGUGGAAAUUUCUGUUCUCUUGUUGAAUCAAAUCACAUCUUGAUAUCUGAAAUAAAAUUUCAUUUUGGGGUUAGUAAAAUCCCUUUUUGGCGUUGGUUAUGAGAGAGGCCAUUAUUUUUAUGUCGUGGUUCUUAUUUUACACUUGAAGGCAAUUACACUUUCGUAUUUGAAAUAACCUUUCCUUUUGGAGUAAAGUUUAGUUUCUAGUUUGAUAUUAAUUCAUAUUCAAGUUUUGAGGCAUAUCAAUACAUUUUUUAAUGUCUACUUAAUGGUUUCCAUUGUAGUACAAGAUGGCCAUGUGGUGUCGAUCCUAGCUCUUUCAGCUAUUAACCCAUUAAGUCCCAGAGUACUUAAAUUUUUGAAUAUUACUUUUAAAUUUCUACAGAUGAUUGAAAAUAGGUUAAAAUGAAAAAAAAAUAAUUAUUAAAACCCCUUUACUUCAAAUAGAAAUAGAAAUACUCGGUGUCCUAUAGGACACUGAGACAAUGAGAUAUAGCUUAUUUAAUGUUUUCAUUUAGUGUCCUAUUUAUAGGACAGUGGGACUUAAUGGGUGAAGUACUGAGAUAAAACUCCUGUUUCAAUACCGAGUCAAAGUUUUUUAGUGUCGAAGAAAGGUAGAUCUUAUGUUCUUGAAUCUGCUUCGGUUAAGUUGUUCAAAUUUAAAUUGAAAUCUUGGGCUGAAAUUUCAUAAUUACAAGACAGAUAUUUGAUAUCCAUAAGUAAAGAGUUAUCAUGUUGCUUCUAUUUCUUUCAUUAAUUUAAACAUAAAAUGAAACUCAGUUGUCGAUUUUUUUUUUUUUUGACAUACUAAAACACAAGACAAGCUAUAAUCUUGUUGGAAACACAUUAACAAAGGUUAAACAAAUCCCGCCGAUAGUUAUCUCAUCUUGUAGUACAAUGAUAACUUGUGUGGAGGCCACACUUGAAGUACGCAUCAUCAAAAGUCACGGCAAAUGUGAUUAGUUGGUUAUCCUUUGCUGCAAAGCUAUAAAAAUUAUUUUGAAAUACUAAAACACAAAGCAGGAUGCAGUCUUAUUUGAAAUACAUUCACAAAAGGUUAAUCCUGCCGGUAGUUUCCUUAUAUCGUUGAGUGAUGAGGAUUUAUACGUUCAUACUUGAAAUACACAUCGUCAAAAGUCAGGGCUGCUUUUAUCGGUUGGCUGCUUUUUGUUACGAAAGUAUCUCAAUUAUUUUGAAAUACUAAAACAUAAGGCAGGAUGUAAUCUUACUAGAAAUACAUCCACAAAAGGUUAAAUAGUUUAACACAACAUUUACAUAAAACCAAACUGAGCUAGGAAAACUAGAGGCACGAAUAUUUAAGAAAGAAGACAAAAAAAAGCCACCAACAUUACUAACAAUAAUAUUAUUGACUGGAGAAAAAGACAAAUUUUUUUUUUAAAUAUGAAAGAAAAUAAAUAAAUUGUGAAAUAAUUUACUUACAUAUUGCAGCUGCGGCAAGCAACGUAACUGGCAAAGAUGGUUGCUCGCAGUCCGGAAACAAGGGUUCGAUAAUAUAAAAGGAAAAUGUAAGCGCCACGAUUGCUUGAGAACAUGGCCGUAUGAUCAUGCAUUCCACCCAAAGUCUCAGAAAAGCAGGAAAUGCUCCGAACGCUUCGUAAAUGUAAGCAUAAUCGGCACCGGAGCGCAUGAUAGAGGUACCCAGUUCGGCAUAGCAAUAGGCUCCUAUCAUGGAAAGCACUCCGCUUAAGAUCCAUAUUACUAACGAUAGGGCCACACUUCCAGAAUUGACGAGGACUCCUUUAGGACUAACAAAUAUGCCGGACCCGAUGAUGCAACCGACAAUAACAGUUAUUCCAUUCAAAAGCGUUAAUUUUGGUUUUAACCCGAUUUCUUCUUUCUCAGCUUUCCAAUCUGACAUCUUUGAAAUUUGAUCCUGCCUCAAAAUGAAAGCCGACAACAAGCGAAUAAAAUAAAAGAUAAAAUAAAAUAUAUAAGAAUAAUAAAAUAAAUAAAUAAUAAA